ensembl:miRNA
GUGCUAGGAGCUGGGGGGAUAUAAGGAAGAAUAAGACAUAGCCCAUGCUCUUAAGGAGCUCACAAUCUAAUGGAGAAAAUCUCCA